rnacentral:rRNA from 1 species
UUAAGAGCUUGCUCUUAUGAUUAGUGGCGCACGGGUGAGUAAUAUAUAGAUAACGUACCUCUUAGUCUGGGAUAGCCAUUGGAAACGAUGAUUAAUACUGGAUACUCCUUCUAAGCUUAUGCUUGGUCGGGAAAGUUUUUCGCUAAGAGAUCGGUCUAUAUUCCAUCAGCUAGUUGGGGAGGUAAUGGCUCACCAAGGCAAUGACGGAUAGCGGGUUUGAGAGGAUGAUCCGCCACACUGGUACUGAGACACGGACCAGACUCC